GAUGAACGCUGGCGGCGUGCCUAAUACAUGCAAGUCGAGCGAACGGACGAGAAGCUUGCUUCUCUGAUGUUAGCGGCGGACGGGUGAGUAACACGUGGAUAACCUACCUAUAAGACUGGGAUAACUUCGGGAAACCGGAGCUAAUACCGGAUAAUAUUUUGAACCGCAUGGUUCAAAAGUGAAAGACGGUCUUGCUGUCACUUAUAGAUGGAUCCGCGCUGCAUUAGCUAGUUAGUAAGGUAACGGCUUACCAAGGCAACGAUGCAUAGCCGACCUGAGAGGGUGAUCGGCCACACUGGAACUGAGACACGGGCCAGACUCCUACGGGAGGCAGCAGUAGGGAAUCUUCCGCAAUGGGCGAAAGCCUGACGGAGCAACGCCGCGUGAGUGAUGAAGGUCUUCGGAUCGUAAAACUCUGUUAUUAGGGAAGAACAUAUGUGUAAGUAACUGUGCACAUCUUGACGGUACCUAAGCAGAAAGCCACGGCUAACUACGU
rnacentral:rRNA from 1 species